GACGAAGGGGGCUAGCGUUGUUCGGAAUUACUGGGCGUAAAGCGCACGUAGGCGGAUUGUUAAGUCAGAGGUGAAAUCCCGGAGCUCAACUUCGGAACUGCCUUUGAUACUGGCAAUCUAGAGUCCGGAAGAGGUUAGUGGAAUUCCCAGUGUAGAGGUGAAAUUCGUAGAUAUUCGGAAGAACACCAGUGGCGAAGGCGGCUCACUGGACUGGUAUUGACGCUGAGGUGCGAAAGCGUGGGGAGCAAACAGG
rnacentral:rRNA from 1 species